rnacentral:rRNA from 1 species
GACGAACGCUGGCGGCGUGCUUAACACAUGCAAGUCGAACGGAAAGGCCCUGCUUUUGUGGGGUGCUCGAGUGGCGAACGGGUGAGUAACACGUGAGUAACCUGCCCUUGACUUUGGGAUAACUUCAGGAAACUGGGGCUAAUACCGGAUAGGAGCUCCUGCUGCAUGGUGGGGGUUGGAAAGUUUCGGCGGUUGGGGAUGGACUCGCGGCUUAUCAGCUUGUUGGUGGGGUAGUGGCUUACCAAGGCUUUGACGGGUAGCCGGCCUGAGAGGGUGACCGGCCACAUUGGGACUGAGAUACGGCCCAGACUCCUACGGGAGGCAGCAGUGGGGAAUAUUGCACAAUGGGCGGAAGCCUGAUGCAGCAACGCCGCGUGCGGGAUGACGGCCUUCGGGUUGUAAACCGCUUUCGCCUGUGACGAAGCGUGAGUGACGGUAAUGGGUAAAGAAGCACCGGCUAACUACGUGCCAGCAGCCGCGGUGAUACGUAGGGUGCGAGCGUUGUCCGGAUUUAUUGGGCGUAGAGGGCUCGUAGGUGGUUGAUCGCGUCGGAAGUGUAAUCUUGGGGCUUAACCCUGAGCGUGCUUUCGAUACGGGUUGACUUGAGGAAGGUAGGGGAGAAUGGAAUUCCUGGUGGAGCGGUGGAAUGCGCAGAUAUCAGGAGGAACACCAGUGGCGAAGGCGGUUCUCUGGGCCUUUCCUGACGCUGAGGAGCGAAAGCGUGGGGAGCGAACAGGCUUAGAUACCCUGGUAGUCCACGCUGUAAACGGUGGGUACUAGGUGUGGGGUCCAUUCCACGGGUUCCGUGCCGUAGCUAACGCUUUAAGUACCCCGCCUGGGGAGUACGGCCGCAAGGCUAAAACUCAAAGGAAUUGACGGGGCCCCGCACAAGCGGCGGAGCAUGCGGAUUAAUUCGAUGCAACGCGUAGAACCUUACCUGGGUUUGACAUGGAUCGGGAGUGCUCAGAGAUGGGUGUGCCUCUUUUGGGGUCGGUUCACAGGUGGUGCAUGCCUGUCGUCAGCUCGUGUCGUGAGAUGUUGGGUUAAGUCCCGCAACGAGCGCAACCCUUGUUCACUGUUGCCAGCACGUUAUGGUGGGGACUCAGUGGAGACCGCCGGGGUCAACUCGGAGGAAGGUGGGGAUGACGUCAAGUCAUCAUGCCCCUUAUGUCCAGGGCUUCACGCAUGCUACAAUGGCUGGUACAGAGAGUGGCGAGCCUGUGAGGGUGAGCGAAUCUCGGAAAGCCGGUCUCAGUUCGGAUUGGGGUCUGCAACUCGACCUCAUGAAGUCGGAGUCGCUAGUAAUCGCAGAUCAGCAACGCUGCGGUGAAAACGUUCCCGGG